rnacentral:lncRNA from 1 species
GGAGAAGGGGACAGGGGGCAGAAGGUAGGCAAGGGGGACUGGGAGGAUGAGGAGGGGACAAGGGGGACAAGGAGGGGGAACAAGGAGGCUGAGCAUCACCUGCACCCAACAUUUUGUUGCAUUUUUUUUCUGAUUUCCAAAUUGAGCAGAUGUUGGCUGCAGCUCUUGGGGUCACAAGCACGAGGAACGUCACUGCUGUCCCCUUAACGUGGCACUGGUGAGACCGCAGCUCCCGCCAGCACCCCGAAAGGAGGAGGCGGGGAGGGAGGUGUCCGGCAUUUCUCGGUGACAGCACGUGAGGGAACAGGCUCGAGUUGCUGCAGGGCAUGGCUACGUUGGGUUUGGGGCAGGAUUUCUGCAUGGAGAGGGUGGCCAACGGGAGCAUGGGUUGGUGCACCCAGUGUGCUGGGCUCUGGUUCUGCUUCUUGUCACAGAAUCCCAGCCCGGUUGGGGCUGGAGGUCCCCUCAGGGUCCCUCUGGUCCCAGGGGUGCUCCAGCAGCCCCCAGAGCUGCCCUUGUUCCUACAAUUUAGGAGAAAUUCAGAGAGUUUAAAACGAAAAAUGAUUUAUUUGUGAGUGUGUUUCUGUCACCGGUACUCCUGACAAGGUGUUGGGUGUUACUUAGCGUGGCAAGCUUUACAUUUUCAGGUUGACUUUUAAUAAAUAAAUAGAUAAAUAAAUAAAUAAAUAGUAAUAAAUAGUAAGAAGAAGAAGAAGAAGAAGAAGAAGAAGAAGAAGGAGUUGGAAAUUCUCUUUAAAGAAUACCCAACUUGUUAAAGACCUGUUUUUUGUGGGUUUUGUUUUUUGUUUUUUUCCUUCUGGCUGCACAAACCUGACACUUUACCCAGUCACUUCUAUUUCCCCAUGAACCUUAUUUCUCAAGGCGCGCACAGAUUCUCAGCUUUGGUUUCCUAUCCAGGACCACCGUCUGUGAAGCUCUCCUGCUCUCCCUGCUGUGAGCAUCAGGGCAGUUUGUUCCGCAGCAGGUCAAACUCCACAACUGGGGAAUUAAAACAAAACCUCCCGGAGAGGAAUUCGGAGAAUCUCGUGAUUCCCAUUCACGUUUUUGGCCAUUCCUUACCUUUUUACAGUGUCUGCGUCCCCUCUGCUGGCUUCCCACCACAAAUUUCCCGUGCUCCUAGCAGUUACCACACUAGAGGAUUCCCAUAUUUCCACCCCACUUCAUUCAAGAGCACAUUCAUUAUGCAAAUUAUUUAUCUAUGGUGCUAAGCGAGAUGUUGCUGCAUGGUAACACAAGACACCUGAAGAGAUGCACAGUCAAAAAGUGCACCUGCAGAAGGGCAUCACAGCACCCCGGUGCCAAACACCUCGAAAACAGGGUCCUGCUUUGCUCUACUGUGAACUUAAUUAAAAACUUUCCAAGUCCUUUAGCAUUGGGCAAAAAUCUUUAAUGUUUUCAGUGCCUUUUGUCUACAAAGGUUGAAACCACAAUGCUUAAAUACAUCGUCAGGAAUUAUUUUCAUACAGAAUUUGAAAAUAAUUAUAUCAGAAAUAAUAUCAGGAAUUACUAUAAACUUCAAAAAUAGUUAACAGCAACAUGUUGAGCAAUUCUAGCACACAAUUUAAUCAUUACAGGUGUAAGCCUGGUCUCAAUCAAGGCAAGAUUCUUACCAGCAUCAGUGGAGCCAGCAGCACUGGAAACACUGGGAACAAACCCAAUAGAAGUUAUGUUGUAAAACUCAGCAUUUUGGGCAAGCGAGAUUUUACACACCGUCACAAUUUUGGGUCACCCCACUGGCUGCGUGGCUUUCCACCUCUAACUCCUUUUAAUGUCUCCACUUAAACCUCUAAGCAAGGUGAUUAUUUUCACUCCAACACACAAAAAUCUCCGAUGUAGGCGACCGUCUGUGCCUGGUCUUCCCCUGGGACGGCUGCUCCUCAGCCCCACGCUUGCAGCACAGGGGUAGGAAGGUCUUGCACGGAGGAUUUACGUUCAGCAGCUCCUGAACAACCAGCCGUAGGAGUGUGACGUGCCAAAUUCAGCCCCUGCUUUUCCAGGUGCUCUUUGUUUCGCAGAAGGAAGGAGUUCUGCUGAAAUGGUGCUUUACAGGAGGGGAAGAAUCAAAGAAUCCCCAUUCAGGAGCAUCCAGCACGCCGGCAGCUACCAAGGCAUCACGUUGCGUGGGAGAAGGAUAAAAGAAAUGCUGUCCCCAGGGUAAGUUUUAAGAAGAAAAUAAGGAGAAGUGAGUGAUAAAAGAGUUUUCUGGAAGCUGCUCCUGCUUUGGGGAUGGGCAGGGAUCCCUCGGGGCCAUGAGUACUCCCUUAAUCUCCUUCAGGAUUUACCAAGCUCCAUCCCAGCCCCAGUUGUUUCCUGGUCCUCGAGGGAAGCCAAGGACAGUAACUUCAUUCAUGGCUUCAGUGCAGAACACAGCACCUUCACUGCCACCGUUACUGUCCCAUCAGUGUUUUUGUGUUUUUUUUUUUUUUGUGUGUGUGUUACACCAACCCAACCCUUACACUUUAACCUGAGCUCCCAAGCUCCCAGAAGCUCCAUUUUCUGCUCACAACUCUGCAGACAAUCCUGUUCUGAUCGUCUCUUGGUCUUCUCCAACAUGAAAACCCCCCAGCAAUUUUCUGCUUAAAUUUUCUGCUUAAAUUGUUCUGCCUAAAUUUUCUGCUUAAACACAGCCAUUUUUCUAGCACAGGCUGCUUUGUGCAUCCGAACAUUCCUUUAAUAACGCUUUCGGUACAGUCAAUGCUGCUGUGUGUUAACUCCCCCUCCCAGACAUGAAUCAUCCAGCCACCGAUUCAAAUCAGCUCCUAAUCAAUGCCUCUUCGGCUGGCACCAACCCUGCCAUGCUUGGGUUUGAUUCGGUUUAACGAAACUGCCUCAUCCUAAACCUUCCCCUAUAAUUGAUACGGGACUAGAACC